UUCAGGACCUGUGAGCUGCGAUGUAGGAAUUUCCCGUAACCUUUCCUGGGUCUUGGAAGAGGAGCCAAUUAGAGCGUUGGCAAGAGCACCGAGAGGGUUAGAAGAAGAAGAAGAACCAGGAACCGCACAAGAAGCUGCUCCAGUAACCAAUUCUCGCAUCGCCAUAUCUGGUUUCUUUCCGACCUUGACGGACAGUCAAUUUUCCUCGUCGCGAUUCGGUUCUUCCGUCGCUGUUUCAAAUUGCUCUCGUUUCCCACGAACUGCUAUCGAUUACGUAAAUAAGAUUGAUUUUGAGAUGAAAUUGCUGGGAAAGACAGACGAUAACGGGAUGGGCUCUG
rnacentral:misc_RNA from 1 species